rnacentral:rRNA from 1 species
UACGAAGGGGGCUAGCGUUGCUCGGAAUUACUGGGCGUAAAGGGCGCGUAGGCGGACAUUUAAGUCAGGGGUGAAAUCCCGAGGCUCAACCUCGGAACUGCCUUUGAUACUGGGUGUCUUGAGUGUGAGAGAGGUAUGUGGAACUCCGAGUGUAGAGGUGAAAUUCGUAGAUAUUCGGAAGAACACCAGUGGCGAAGGCGACAUACUGGCUCAUUACUGACGCUGAGGCGCGAAAGCGUGGGGAGCAAACAGG